UGCAGUCGAGCGGACAGAUGGGAGCUUGCUCCCUGAUGUUAGCGGCGGACGGGUGAGUAACACGUGGGUAACCUGCCUGUAAGACUGGGAUAACUCCGGAAAACCGGGGCUAAUACCGGAUGCUUGUUUGAACCGCAUGGUUCAAACAUAAAAGGUGGCUUCGGCUACCACUUACAGAUGGACCCGCGGCGCAUUAGCUAGUUGGUGAGGUAAUGGCUCACCAAGGCAACGAUGCGUAGCCGACCUGAGAGGGUGAUCGGCCACACUGGGACUGAGACACGGCCCAGACUCCUACGGGAGGCAGCAGUAGGGAAUCUUCCGCAAUGGACGAAAGUCUGACGGAGCAACGCCGCGUGAGUGAUGAAGGUUUUCGGAUCGUAAAGCUCUGUUGUUAGGGAAGAACAAGUACCGUUCGAAUAGGGCGGUACCUUGACGGUACCUAACCAGAAAGCCACGGCUAACUACGUGCCAGCAGCCGCGGUAAUACGUAGGUGGCAAGCGUUGUCCGGAAUUAUUGGGCGUAAAGGGCUCGCAGGCGGUUUCUUAAGUCUGAUGUGAAAGCACCCCGGCUCAACCGGGGAGGGUCAUUGGAAACUGGGGAACUUGAGUGCAGAAGAGGAGAGUGGAAUUCCACGUGUAGCGGUGAAAUGCGUAGAGAUGUGGAGGAACACCAGUGGCGAAGGCGACUCUCUGGUCUGUAACUGACGCUGAGGAGCGAAAGCGUGGGGAGCGAACAGGAUUAGAUACCCUGGUAGUCCACGCCGUAAACGAUGAGUGCUAAGUGUUAGGGGGUUUCCGCCCCUUAGUGCUGCAGCUAACGCAUUAAGCAC
rnacentral:rRNA from 1 species